GAUGAACGCUAGCUACAGGCUUAACACAUGCAAGUCGAGGGGCAGCAUGGUCUUAGCUUGCUAAGGCCGAUGGCGACCGGCGCACGGGUGAGUAACGCGUAUCCAACCUGCCUUACACUCUUGGACAGCCUUCUGAAAGGGAGAUUAAUACAAGAUGUUAUCAUGAGUAAGCAUUUUCGCAUGAUUAAAGGUUUACCGGUGUAAGGUGGGGAUGCGUUCCAUUAGAUAGUAGGCGGGGUAACGGCCCACCUAGUCUUCGAUGGAUAGGGGUUCUGAGAGGAAGGUCCCCCACAUUGGAACUGAGACACGGUCCAAACUCCUACGGGAGGCAGCAGUGAGGAAUAUUGGUCAAUGGACGAGAGUCUGAACCAGCCAAGUAGCGUGAAGGAUGAAGGUUCUAUGGAUUGUAAACUUCUUUUAUACGGGAAUAAACGAAUCCACGUGUGGAUUUUUGCAUGUACCGUAUGAAUAAGGAUCGGCUAACUCCGUGCCAGCAGCCGCGGUAAUACGGAGGAUCCGAGCGUUAUCCGGAUUUAUUGGGUUUAAAGGGAGCGUAGAUGGGUUGUUAAGUCAGUUGUGAAAGUUUGCGGCUCAACCGUAAAAUUGCAAUUGAUACUGGCAGUCUUGAGUACAGUUGAGGUAGGCGGAAUUCGUGGUGUAGCGGUGAAAUGCUUAGAUAUCACGAAGAACUCCGAUUGCGAAGGCAGCUUACUAACCUGUAACUGACAUUGAUGCUCGAAAGUGUGGGUAUCAAA
rnacentral:rRNA from 1 species